AUGGCUCAGAGUGAACGCUGGCGGUAGGCCUAACACAUGCAAGUCGAACGGCAGCACAGUAAGAGCUUGCUCUUAUGGGUGGCGAGUGGCGGACGGGUGAGGAAUACAUCGGAAUCUACCUUUUCGUGGGGGAUAACGUAGGGAAACUUACGCUAAUACCGCAUACGACCUUCGGGUGAAAGCAGGGGACCUUCGGGCCUUGCGCGGAUAGAUGAGCCGAUGUCGGAUUAGCUAGUUGGCGGGGUAAAGGCCCACCAAGGCGACGAUCCGUAGCUGGUCUGAGAGGAUGAUCAGCCACACUGGAACUGAGACACGGUCCAGACUCCUACGGGAGGCAGCAGUGGGGAAUAUUGGACAAUGGGCGCAAGCCUGAUCCAGCCAUACCGCGUGGGUGAAGAAGGCCUUCGGGUUGUAAAGCCCUUUUGUUGGGAAAGAAAAGCAGUCGGUUAAUACCCGGUUGUUCUGACGGUACCCAAAGAAUAAGCACCGGCUAACUUCGUGCCAGCAGCCGCGGUAAUACGAAGGGUGCAAGCGUUACUCGGAAUUACUGGGCGUAAAGCGUGCGUAGGUGGUUGUUUAAGUCUGUUGUGAAAGCCCUGGGCUCAACCUGGGAAUUGCAGUGGAUACUGGGCGACUAGAGUGUGGUAGAGGGUAGUGGAAUUCCCGGUGUAGCAGUGAAAUGCGUAGAGAUCGGGAGGAACAUCCAUGGCGAAGGCAGCUACCUGGACCAAC
rnacentral:rRNA from 1 species